UUCCGGUUGAUCCCGCCGGAGGUCACUGCUAUCGGGGUUCGAUUAAGCCAUGCGAGUCGAGAGGGUUCGGCCCUCGGCGUACUGCUCAGUAACACGUGGAUAACCUGCCCUAGGGAAGGGGAUAACCCCGGGAAACUGGGGAUAAUACCCUAUAGGUUACAGAUGCUGGAAUGCCCUGUAACCCAAAGUUCCGACGCCCUAGGAUGGAUCUGCGGCCGAUUAGGUUGUUGUUGGGGUAAUGGCCCAACAAGCCCGUAAUCGGUACGGGUUGUGGGAGCAAGAGCCCGGAGUUGGAUUCUGAGACACGAAUCCAGGCCCUACGGGGCGCAGCAGGCGCGAAAACUUUACAAUGCGGGCAACCGUGAUAAGGGAACCUCGAGUGCCUGUAAAUGCAGGCUGUUCAGGUGCCUAAAACACACCUGAAGAAAGGGCCGGGCAAGACCGGUGCCAGCCGCCGCGGUAACACCGGCGGCCCGAGUGGUGACCGUUAUUAUUGGGUCUAAAGGGUCCGUAGCCGGUUUGGUCAGUCCUCCGGGAAAUCUGAUAGCUUAACUGUUAGGCUUUCGGGGGAUACUGCCAGGCUUGGAACCGGGAGAGGUAAGAGGUACUACAGGGGUAGGAGUGAAAUCUUGUAAUCCCUGUGAGACCACCGGUGGCGAAGGCGUCUUACCAGAACGGGUUCGACGGUGAGGGACGAAAGCUGGGGGCACGAACCGGAUUAGAUACCCGGGUAGUCCCAGCCGUAAACUAUGCUCGCUAGGUGUCAGGCAUGGCGCGACCGUGUCUGGUGCCGCAGGGAAGCCGUGAAGCGAGCCACCUGGGAAGUACGGCCGCAAGGCUGAAACUUAAAGGAAUUGGCGGGGGAGCACAACAACGGGUGGAGCCUGCGGUUUAAUUGGACUCAACGCCGGACAACUCACCGGGAACGACAGCAAUAUGUAGGCCAGGCUGAAGACCUUGCCUGAAUCGCUGAGAGGAGGUGCAUGGCC
rnacentral:rRNA from 1 species